CAUCCUACCUUGCUGCCGUUUGAGCUGGGUGGGCGACAGAGGAAGAUGGGGUGAGGCCCAUACCGUGGACUAUCAUCGAAAAGAUCAUCAUUGCAAUGGGAGUCAGGAUAUGGAUCGUCAACGAUGGUCCUCGACAAGGGUCGGAACCUCAGGCCCCUUGCAUCCCAGACGAGCCGUUGAGGGGCCCUUGCCUUGUGCUACAAAGCGUCUUCAAUCAAUUGUUUUGAAAGGCCUUACCGUUUUCCAAACGGCGGCAGAUGAUGUCGGCGGUUCUGUUGUUUCUCUCUGUAAACGACUCUCUUCGGUGACGGGUAUUCUUGGGUGGAUAAUACGGCGCUCGUUGUUAUUGCUUAAGAAUACGCGUAGUCGAGGGGAGUCAUGUCAGCGAUGCCUGCAGUGGACUAGAGAGAGCGUUGAAUCCAGAAGGCCUACCUGCCUGCACACAAACACACGCAUACAUGUUUACUAAAGGGGACAUACCAUAGAUGUGUACUGUUUUUAAAUAAAGCUAUUUGUAAUUACUAUAGACUAACUGGAUCCCUAAAAGCAAACUGUAUUUUUUGUUUUUGUUUGUUUUAUCAAAAUACAAACAAACAUUAUUUGCUCUAUUUAUAAAUCGUUUCUCCAAUUGAAAAUUUCCCAGUAUGUCCCCAUAGGGAGGUUUUGUCAGAUUUAGCUCACUUCUGAGGACAAAUUUGUCCCCAAACUAUAACUAAGCCAAUCUACACCUUAGCUAUCUAAAAUGAGAUAAACUCUAGAUUUAUAGGGUUUUUAAAUAAAGUUAAUUGUAAUUAUUGUAGACUAAACCUACCCUUAAAGGAAAACUGUAUUUUUUAGAAAUAAAAUAAUAGUUUUUCCUAUUGAAAACGUCCCAGAAUGUCCCCAUAGGGAAGUUUUGUCAGAUUUAGCUCAUGCAUGUGGAGAAAUUUGUCCCCAAACUAUAGCUAAGUAAACCCACACCUUUAUACAGGUUUAUUUAGUUAUCUAAAAUGGGACGUACCAUAGACUUUUAUUGUUUUUAAAUAAAGCUAAUUAUAAUUACUAGGACUAAUUACUGUAUACCCUUAAAGGAAAACUGUAUUAAAAAAAAAAAAAAAAAAACUCUUUAUCUUUUUAUGAAUCAUUUCUCUAAUUGAAAAUUUCCCAGAAUGUCCCCUUAGGGAGGCUUUGUUAAAUUUAGCUCAUUUCAGCAACACAAUAUUGUCACCAAAAUAUAGCAAAGUUAAGCCACACCUAUAUACAAGUUUACUUAGCUAUCUAAAUGGGGAUAUACUGUAGACUUCUAUUGGUUUUAAAUAAAGCUAAUUAUAUAUACAAUAGGCUAACCCUACCCUAAAAGAAAAUUGCACUUUUAGAAUAAUAAUAAUAAUAAUAAUAAUAAUAAUAAUAAAAACAUUAUUUGCUUUAUUUAUGAAUCACUUUUCCAAUUGAGGAUGUCCCCGAAUGUCCCCAAAGGGAGGACCCCAGACUUACAGGUUGGGAAACACUGCUAUAGACUAACCCCAACCCUACUCCAAAAAAACAAAAAAACAUUUAGAAUCUGCAACAAUUUACUUUAUUGGUUUACUUAAUUGUUUUUGGAAAUGAGGACGACCCUGAAUGUCCACAAAGGGAGAUUUUGUCAGAUUUAGAUCACUUCUUGAGACAAAUGUGUCCCCCAAACUAUAGCUAAGUAAACCCUAAAUGGGGACAUACCUGUAGUGUAGACUUCUAGUGUUUUUUUUUUUUGUUUUUUUUUAAAGCUAAUCAUAAAUACUUUAGACUAACCCUGACUUUACCCCUCAAAGAAAACUGCAUUUACAGAAUAAUAAAACAGCAUUAUUUUUGCUUUAUUUAUCAUUUUUCCAAAUGAGCACAUCCCUGAAUGUAUCCAUAUGGAGGUUUUGUCAGAUUUAGCUUAUUUCUAGGGACAAAUUUGUCCCCAAACUCUAACCAAGUAAACCCCCGAACACAUAUUAAUUUGCAAAUGCUGAGAUGUACACCUACACACAUGUAUUGAGUCAGCAAAGCUGCAUUUCUUGUUUGUGUGUGACGGUUGUGUAGCUGAUUCUCCAUCUACUCCUACUAAACAUGUUUCCAUUGUAUGUCAGGCACCAAAAAGAAGAACAGAUUUUAUUCAUAUAGUGUUUUCUUUUUUUUUUUCUUUUUGUGCUUUUGUGUUUCUUUGUAGAUUGAACGUUUAUGUGUAUCAGACUGGUAUGGUGUCUUCACAGGUUUUGUAAGGGAAGCUGUAUAUUCUAAUGUGCCGGGCGGGGUUGUAGAUGCAAAUAUGUUUGGUUUGUGCCAAAUAUUCUCUUCUCAGGACCUCACACACUCUACCUUUUUAAUGCAAAUUGAUUUUGAAAUGACAUUUAUCGUGCAGGGUUUCCAUAUGGAAGUCCUAACUCCAAGAAGGCUGGGGGAAAAAAAUGAAUGAAAUGUCCACAACGCCAGUGACAGCUAAAUUUAUGCGCUGGUAGGGAGACGGAUUGUAAAGGAGCACAUUGCAGAUAAACAGUUACCACAGGCUUAGAUUGACUGCGGCGUGGCCUCCCAUGUAGGCAAGCAUAUAUCAUGAAUAUGUAUCAGCCAUGCGUAUGAUGGCGCAGUCUAACGUCCAUGAAAAUCCAUUUAAGGAAGCUAAUAGGAUCUACUUGACUUACGAAAGCAUACAAUCAGAUGUAUCAACUAUACAUGAGAUUUUUUUUUAUCUAAAACAUUUGAUUAUUUUGCUUUAUUUAUUUAUUUUUAGAAAUGACAUAAAAACUAAAGAGAUUGCAUUUGGAUCGGCUGUUAAUGUAUUGAUGUGGAGGAUUUGUAAAUCUGAAAACAUUUUAAUUUGUUCUCCAUUAUCAACUAGCACGUUUAAGUGAUGUAUUAGCAUUUCAGACAGACUAAAGGCAACAAUCAGGCAACUCGUUCGUUGAUCACUCUGUAAUUAUCGUUCUCUCGGCUAUGUGUUUAAAUGAAUAGAGAGAAAAAGGGGGGAAAAGGGGAGUAGAUAAGGAAUACUGUUUUACCACUAGGGGACACACACAACUGAAAAUCACAGAGAAUUUAUAAGUUUGAUUUAAGAAGGAACUUUUUGAGGGUGUUUUGUGUUAAAAAACGAGAAUAUAUAAAUCUGUUUAUUUUUUAAUUGUUAUAUAUGUUUAGUACAUUUAACUGAUUUUGGCUGGUCAAAAUAGAUAUUUUUAUU